AGCAACGCCUGAUUGGACAGCCUUUGUUAUUGUCACCACAAUAUGACACUUUGCUGCCAUCCCACUGAUUUCUGCCCCUCUUAUAGGCCUCAGUUUCUGGCUGCAGAUCUAGAGGAUGACCUAAACUUUCAACUUCCAAAGAAAAUUUGAAGACCUACAAAUAAAUAUCUACAACAAUUCAUUCUGCAAGGAUAGCAGGAAUUUAAAUGUGCACAAGGCGAAGGAGAGAACUUAUUCUUUUUGCUUUCCUUCAUUUCUCCGUGUUACUCAUGUUAAGUACAGGUGAAAUGGAGGUUGUGAAGAGGACAAGGGUCGGAGCCUUCAGGAGGAACUUUAAGAAGAGGAAGAAGUGGACUCCCAAGGACUGUGGAGCUGGACGUGGCCAUAGGGAACAUCUCCAAAUCUCUCACUUUUCAGAUAAGAAUUAAGAAGACAGCGAGCACACUGGGAGGCUGAGAGGUGGUGGUGCUGAUGAUGGUGAAGUCCCCGUGCUGAUGAAGGCUGAGUCGGUGGAGGUGGCGUGAUGCGAGGUACAGGAGACUGGAGUGCAGGAGAGAGAGGAAGUGGGGUCCUCUAUUAACAUCUCAUUGUGGUCUGAAUCCAUCAGGGCAGGCAGGUCACUAACUCACUAAGGUCUACAGCUCUGAUGUCCGCCUGCCUGCACGUCGAAGGUCGAGGUUCCUCGUCUGCUGUGGCUGAUGUGGCUGAUGUGGCUGAUGGGGAAGACUUGAAAUAGCACAGUAUGCUUGACUGCUUAGCCUCUAUAACGUCUCGCUGCAAAACAAACGCUGAACACUAUUUUUGCUUUUUUUCGUAAAAGUGAAAAUCUUCUUCAAAUUUCUUUUGGUUUUGAAAACAGGUACUAAUGUAGGCUUUUCGUAAAAGCGAAGUGGCAUAAAGCGAACUUUUGAAUAGUAGAGGAAACUUGUACUGUCCAGGCUAUUAUUUUUCAGCGAUUUUGUAAUUGUUUUGACUUUAAUCUUUUGGUGAUAUCUCUUUGUUAUUUUUUUUAUAUUUCCAUUUCCAAAUUAUGCCACUGCUUUGUUCCUUGUCCAUAAUCGGGGUAAUCCCAGGAUUAUUAGGCACUUCUGAUGUGGCUCCUCAUCUAUCCUGGAACUGCUCUUACGAUCUCAAAAUGAGACAGGACACAUGGUUCGCAUGGAGUUGGUUAGAGCACGUUUACUACAGAAGAUGGCUCAAUAAGGAGAGCUGGUGGGGCAAAUCAAAGCCAGAAUCCUUGAGGAGAACUAGGAGGAGCUGAAGAUCCCACAGACAACCUGCAAGUCCAAAGAGGCUGGAAUAGGAUAGCAAGUGAGUUAACAGAGAGAGGAGUUAAGAACUGGAAAGACUGCUGUGAAUAUUGACUUCAUUGGACUUGUGGGUUUGAGGUGAAUGGCAACUGGCUUAUGGAAGUUAAAGAUACAUGGUGAGGGGCAUAGUGUAUAUUAUGGAGAAUUCUGUGCCUCCCUGCAAGUGGGCAUUUCUAUGAGGCUGGAUUGCAAUAUGAUACUUAUGUUAUUUAAUGACCAUAUACUGCCUGAUUCAUUAUUCUUUGUCCAUCUUAAAGUGCAUUGUACAUUUCUUGACCCCAUGAUCCGCUUAAUCCCAUGGAAUCUAAUGUGAGGUUCAGGAAUUUAUUAUGCAUGAUGUGAUGCUAUCUCUCUUCUCUCUCUCUCUCUCUAUAUGCAGACACAGAUACAUACACACACAUGCAAACAUAUAUAUCUGUGUAUUAUCUGUGUGUAUAUAUAUAAUAUAUAUACAAACUAAUUGAUUGUCUAUAUAUAUAUAUAUGGAGAGAGAAAGUGAGAG
ensembl:lncRNA